rnacentral:rRNA from 1 species
GAUGAACGCUAGCGGCAGGCCUAAUACAUGCCAGUCGAACGAGAUUACGAGGCUUGCUUCUUAUGAAAGUGGCGCACGGGUGCGUAACGCGUAUGCAACCUACCUUAAUCAGGGGGAUAGCCCGAAGAAAUUCGGAUUAAGACCGCAUAAAAACACAGGAUAGCAUUAUCCAAUGUUCAAAUAUUUAUAGGAUUAAGAUGGGCAUGCGUGUCAUUAGCUAGUUGGCGGGGUAACGGCCCACCAAGGCGACGAUGACUAGGGGAUCUGAGAGGAUGACCCCCCACACUGGUACUGAGACACGGACCAGACUCCUACGGGAGGCAGCAGUAAGGAAUAUUGGUCAAUGGAGGGAACCCUGAACCAGCCAUGCCGCGUGCAGGAAGACAGCCCUCUGGGUCGUAAACUGCUUUUAUUCGGGAAUAAACCUUUCUACGUGUAGGAAGCUGAAUGUACCGAAGGAAUAAGGAUCGGCUAACUCCGUG